rnacentral:ncRNA from 2 species
AGGAAAAUCCCUGGAGAGGCUUCGAUAUGAAGGCACCGAAGGGGUAAGUCCGCAAAUUGGUAGCGGGCGAUCUCUCAGGUAAAAAGACAGGGAAGACCUA